CGGAAAAUGCAGCCGAGAUCCGUUCAACGUAACGGAUGCGGGGGACCCGAGAAACAGGGGCGAAUUCCACGCACUUAUCGGAAGCGGAUGAUUUUUAGUCAGGUCAAGGAAGGCGAGUGAUGACGCGGAGGCGUACUUGCAGGUACGCCGCACAAGGAAUCGCGCAGUCUGACGCAGAGAUGGCAAAAAAGAACCGCUUCAUUGGUGCCGAAUGAGGACUUUCAGCCUCAAGCCCGUCAGCUAACCUCGUAGGCAUCUGGAAGGGCAGAA
rnacentral:sRNA from 2 species